CUGCAACAUAAAAAAUUUCGUUGACGAUACUGUUUCCAAAGCCCAAUUCCACCUCAGUGGAACCUCUAGCUUCAACAUUUAUGUCAGGGUGUGAAGCACGUAAGUUAUAUCUCCCUGGAAUAAUAUUUGAGAAAAGAUAAUUCCCUUCCUGCGAAGUUAAUGCCGAAGAUACAACAUCACCAUUGGGAGAGAGCUGUUCCAAUUUGAAUGGUGGUCCAGCAAAUGUAAA
rnacentral:misc_RNA from 1 species